UGCUAAUGUAAACUAACGACAAACCCAGAGUAAAGUAGUUAACGUAACCUGCGUAACACGUUUCUGUGGUAAUGGUAAACGGUUAACGAGCGUCCAGUCGCCACACAAUCAAGUUAGGUUACUAUUACUAGGUAACGAUAACGUGGGAUGCGUUGUCUGUCUGUCUCCAAACGUUGAAGAAAAAUUGCAAGCUGUUUCUCCUUUGGGGCUCUGUCCAAGCCAGUGGCUAUCAGACAAGCACUGACCUGUCCCAAGCAGCUACGUCUGCCCAAGGUGCUGCAGGCCUGGCUGAAGUCAUCAUCAUCCCAGCGUGGCAAAGACGAGAUUGUACCCCCAAUGCAGUCCAGGUUGUCCAGGCUGCGAUUAUUGGAGAGCUCUCUGAGAGAUGGAAGACAGCUGGAAAGAGAAGUAAAAUGAGAAGAAAAACAAGAUAAAGGAGAUGUGUUAAGGGGAGGCAGAAGGGAACAUGGAUCAGGGAAGAAAAUGAACGAUCAGCAAAACCAGGAAUUGAAAGAGAGAUAAAAGGUGAAGAAAUUUGAAGAUGCAAAGGAAGAUGAGAAACAGAAAUCAGCAAGUAGGGAGAAACAUGGCAUCGAGCAGGAAGAGCAAGAGAGAUGACCCACUCAUUUUAGCCCAUCUCUGAAGACUGUGAGCCAGAAAGGAAGUCAGCGAAAGACAGUGGCACCACUUCAUUGCUUAUGAUGGUGAUGGAACUUUCCAUGACCUCAAAAACUAUUUGUCUGUGUGUGAAGUGAGUACAUUAAAUGGGUA